GACGAACGCUGGCGGCGUGCUUAACACCUGCAAGUCGAACGGAAAGGCCCUGCUUUUGUGGGGUGCUCGAGUGGCGAACGGGUGAGUAACACGUGAGUAACCUGCCCCUGUCUUUCGGAUAACUUCAGGAAACUGGGGCUAAUACCGGAUAGGAGCUCCUGCAGCAUGGUGGGGGUUGGAAAGUUUCGGCGGUUGGGGAUGGACUCGCGGCUUAUCCGCUUGUUGGGGGGGUUGUGGCUUACCAAGGCUUUGACGGGUAGCCGGCCUGAGAGGGUGACCGGCCACAUUGGGACUGAGAUACGGCCCAGACGCCUACGGGAGGCAGCAGUGGGGAAUAUGGCACAAUGGGCGGAAGCCUGAUGCAGCAACGCCGCGUGCGGGAUGACGGCCUUCGGGUUGUAAACCGCUUUCGCCUGUGACGAAGCGGGAGUGACGGUAAUGGGUAAAGAAGCACCGGCUAACUACGUG
rnacentral:rRNA from 1 species